AAAAUCAACAAUGGAGUAUUUUAAGCAUAUAAAAAGAUUGGGAGACGCUUUGUUUGAGUUGCUAUCAGAGGCACUUGGUCUUCAACCAGACCACCUUAACUCAAUCGGAUGUAGUAAAGGGUGUAGCAUAGUGACCCACUACUAUCCACCUUGCCCUCAACCUGAACUCACUUUAGGGGUAAGGAAACAUGCAGACGCAGGCAUAUUAACAGUGCUUCUACAGAACCAUAUGGGCGGCCUCCAAGUCCUUCACGACAGUCAAUGGUUCGACGUCCACCCCACUCGAGGUGGUUUGGUCAUAAACGUCGGCGAUCUUCUUCAAGUUAGCUUCAAUUCACAAACUCUAUAUGAAACUGUCCUAAUAGACUAGCUACUGACUCUUUUUAUGUUGUUUAUGGUAGGUUUUAUCAAAUAAUAAGUUCAAGAGUGUGAAACAUAGAGCAAUUUCCAGUCAUGUCGGACCUAGAAUUUCGGUGGCAUGUUUUUUCUCAGGACAUGCUAGCUUGCUUGACAAGCCAUUUGGACCAAUCAAAAAGCUGAUAUCAGAGGCAAAUCCUCCUCGAUAUGAAGAGUUUUUGUUAAAGGAAUAUUUUGCCAAGUUUUUUGCAAGCUCACUUGAUUCCAAGCCUCCUAUAGAUUACUACAAGCUGUGAAGCUAUAAACUAUCAAUUUGCCGUUAGAAUACCAAGCUGAAUAAAAUAGUCUUGUGUGUGUUUUAAUUUGUAUCACAAAUUUAGUAAUUGUAGUGUAGUGUAUUUUGUUUGUAUAAUAAGCAUGUUUAAGAUAUUUUAUAUUUUACAUAAAUUUUGAUAUAUAAAUAAUCUGAAUUAUAUUGUUUUCAAGACAUACAUAUAUUCUUAUCAUAUUUGUGUUGUUUUCUCUUAUUACAUUGUAUUUUUCCCACAUAAUUUAAUCUUAGAAACAUGGCUAUGGGUUUCGUCUAGUCUAGACUAUUGUGACCUCCCUUUUUAAGUCUACCCAUAGUAAAGAUUUCAUUGGUAAAAAUAUCAUGAAUGCUUUUAUACUAUAAAUUGAAUUACAUUUUACCAUCUUUACUAUUUCUGCUAUGUCACGCAACAUGUGCAAUUUAACUAAAAAAUUAAGUUUCAGUCAUUGUAGUUCACGUCUCACCUUUUAAUAAAAUUAAUUAUAUAAUAAAUUUUAUAUUUAUUUUUUUCAAAAGCGUACUUUUUUCGGCUACCACUUCAACAACUAGUUAAAUACACAAUAGAUUGUUUUUAAAAAUUUUAAGGUAAAUUGCACAUAAGUUUACUAAAUUAUUAAUUAUUAAUAAGUUUAUGUUUUGGUCACUUAACUAAAAAAAUUACAAAAUGGUCAUUAAAUUAUUAGAAAGUUUUCAUUUAAAUCAUUAGGCUAUUAAAAUCAUUAUUGUAUAGUCUUUUCUCUUCGUACAGUGUGCACCAAUCGAACAAUCGAAAGUUUUUUUUCCCUUUUCUUUUAUAAUUCAAUUUUUCUCAUGAAACCACUUUAAACGUCAUAAUUUGUCAAUCAAAAUUUAAACAGUUUUAUUCUCUAAUCUUCGACACUGACUAUCAGAUUGACUUGGAUCUAAAGUACGUUUUACUCGUCGAUGAGUAUUAAUUUACUAUACUAAUUGCUGAAUUAUUGCUUGAAACUCAUUAUAUGGACUUAAAAAGAAUAACAAUAAUUUAAAUAAAAACUUUCGAAUAGUUCAAAAUUAAAAGAUAAACUUAAUUUAGUGAGCUAUAAGUAAAUUAACCUUUUAAUUUUUAUGGUUUUUUAGUAAUUUAUUAAAUUAAAUCAGACUAAAUUGAUUCAACUAAAAGUCGGUCUUCUAAUUCAUUCAACCACUUGUGGAGAUUUUAAAAGAAAAAGAAAAAAGCAAUUCAAUUAGCAGAGAAAAUGGCAACCGAAACCUCAGUGGAUUACGACAGAACCAAAGAGUUGAAGCAAUUCGACGACACAAAAGCUGGUGUUAAAGGACUCGUCGAUGCCGGAAUACUUAACAUCCCCAAGAUUUUCGUUCGACCAGCCGAGGACCUUGCCGCCGACGAACUGAAUUCUGGCCACAAAAACGUCGAAGUCCCGAUCAUAGAUGUAAGCAACGUCGGAGACAGUAUCCGGCGACAGGAGAUCGUAAACGAAGUUAAGAUUGCAUCAGGGGAAUGGGGUUUCUUCCAAGUGAUAAACCAUGGGAUCCCAUUAAGUGUUUUGGAUGAAAUGAUUGAAGGGAUACGUUUGUUUAAUGAACAAGAUUUGGAGUUGAAGAUGGAGCUGUAUAGCCGUGACGGUGCAAAGAAAGUGAAAUUCCUCUCUAACUUUGAUAUUUAUACUUCAAAAGCUCUUGAUUGGAAGGACACUUUGCAACUCUCUUUGCUAGAUUUUGAUCCUGACCCCUCUGAAAUGCCACCUGUCUGCAGGUAACUAAACACUAUCUCGGUGAUUUUUACCCCAUAUGAUUUUCGAGUUUCUCAAGAGAAAUAUUCGAAUUGCGGUCUAUUUAAGGUUCACGUAUCCCUUAACAAGUUCACAUAUGAUAUUGUAUUAAGUUGAGGUUUUGUGUUUCGAUUCUAUUGAAAGCCACGCAAGAUUCAGAGCAUUUCAUUAAAUUGAAUCGUGUGUACUAAAGAAAAUAUGAAUUAUUUGUUAUUGGUAUAGUUUGAAUCUAUGCCUUAAAAUGAUAUUUAAGGGCAUGUAUAGAUCAAGUUGUAGCACAUAUGCUCAAUGAUGCCAUUUAGGGCUUGGUUCAAAUUCUGCCAUUGGCAAAUGAUUAUAAUUUCCUUGGUAGUUGGGUAUAUGUUAUGUAUAGUCUGAUUCAAUGAGAUGUUCUCAUUUUAUGAAUAGAGAAGCUGGAGUUAAAAUUGCAUGGUAUAAAACAUACUAUAGGAAUUUACUGUCUCUAGCUAAUCAGUACUUCUAAACUUUCUAAAAAAUGACUUUGAAAUAUGUAGUAUUCCUUAGAAUUGUUACCAACCAAAACUAUGUAAUUAAGGGGUGCUUAGCCAAUAUAGGAACAUAUAUAUUAGUAGAAAAUUUCCAAAUUUACAUUGGGCUUUUUUCUUUGGUUUUAUUAAAUUUGCAGAAAAUCAACAAUGGAGUAUAUUAAGCAUUUGAAAAAAUUGGGAGAAACUUUGUUUGAGUUAUUAUCAGAGGCACUUGGUCUUCAACCAGACCACCUUAACUCAAUCGGAUGCAGUAAAGGGUGUAGCAUAGUGGCCCAUUACUAUCCACCUUGCCCUCAACCUGAACUCACUUUAGGGGUAAGGAAACAUGCAGAUGCAGGCAUAUUAACGGUGCUUCUACAAAACCAUAUUGGCGGCCUCCAAGUCCUUCACGACGAUCAAUGGUUCGACGUCCACCCAAUUCGAGGCGGUUUGGUCAU
rnacentral:lncRNA from 1 species